UGAUUUUGUUUUUAAUGUCUACAAUGACUUUGUUAUUAUCACUAUUGUUAUAAUAGUUAUUUUUAUUUUUAUUAUAAUGUUCGAAAUAAAGAUUUCAUUCAUACCAUGACAACAAGGCUGCACUUUUUAAAACCCUUCUGAUUCUGUGAGCUGAUAGAGGACAUGUCCACCCUGCAGAGGACAGCUCAACAUCUUCACAAAAACGCAUUUCCUCUGACAUGAUGUGUUCUUAUGGGCAUUCCUGAGGUGAUUCCUGGAUAGAGGACAGGGGGAGUGAAGCAUCACCAACAGGAAAAUGUCGUCGGUGGAAGAGACCCAGACCAGCAGAGAAGAGGAGAAAUUUGCGAAAGGAUCAAGAGUCAGAUCGUUGGACCAACCUGCCGAAAAGACAAAGGAGCGUUACUGCUGUGGCCAUUGUGACAAGUCCUUUUAUUUACCGUCAAAGUUAAAACGUCACCAACGUGUCCACCCUGGAGAAAAGCCAAUAGCCCUGUGACCAGUGUGGGAAAACCUUGAGUCAGUCAGUGGAUCUGAAACGUCACCAGCAGAACCUCACUGGAAACCAACAGAAGCAUGUGUGACCAGUUCAAAAAAAGUCACCAGCAGCAUGUUUACCUCGAUGGACCAGGAGUAAAAAUGUUUAAAUGGGUCAAAGUUUGAAGCUCAAAAUGUAGUUUCAAUAAUAUCAAUAUGUAUUCAA